CAGGAGAUUUAUGCUGAGCUGGUUCAUAAAAAGGCUAGAGUUGAAGAACAGCUAAAAGAAAUUACUGACUUUGAAUGACAUGGAGGACACUUAAUGCAAGGCCAACUUGGAAUGCUGAAGCCAACAAUGUCAGAAUCAUUAACACCACCAGCGUUAUUGCUAGGACCAACAUCAUCAUUGACAGAAAACAUUGGAGAGGUGACAAGGGAGGUUGAAGAAGGUUGAUCAGUUUCCUUUCGACUAUUGUUAUUAUUGUACCUCACACUUCUAGGAUUUCAUGUUUGUACAGUUACUAAGAUGCAACUUCCAAUUCCAAUUCAGUCUAGUUCUGUUUUCAGUCAAUCAAGCUUGUCCAAUUCCAACUUCCAACAGUGAAAUGAAAGUCACUUUUUUAGUCCCUACAAAUUACAAAACUAACACCAUGCUUCAAGGAGUGUCUCAUCUUUCUUCCUUCCAAAUUCCAAUUAUUAUAUUAUUACUAUAUUUCUAAUUACUAACUAUAUAAUCUUGUUUAUAUGCCGGUGGAAUUUCACAUUAUUUGUUAAAAGGUGUAUAUAUUUUUUUAUGUAGUAUAUUGUUUUUGGAAUUAAUGUAGUUAGGGACAACAGUAUUUGCACAUGGUUGUUGGAAGUUGUUGAACAAAAGUCCUACGGUUCAAAAUGGAGAAUUUCUGAGAAGAGAUUUGGAAACAAAAAGUUUCAAAAGCAUGUAUGUUGAAUAAGAGUUUGAACAAGCAGCAGGUUUCUGGGGUUACCUCGUGCAAAUUACCUAUCAGACUAGUGCAGGGGCUGUUAUCUCAACAGAUAUUGUCUUUUGGUGUGUAAUUGUCCCACUCUUAUCCAUUUCUCGUUUUAAAUUAAACAUGGUACGUG